AGUGGGGAAAAUAAAUAGAAUAUAUAAAUGUAUUAACGUUAUGAAAAGACGUUCUCACAAUACAAACACUGAAACAUCUCCUACCUUUUCCCCUUAAUACAUCCGUGGAAAGAAUGGUUCCCAUCGUGUGAUUCGGUAUCAAGCUGUUAUAUGUUAAUAGGACGUACAACAGUUGAAUUUAGUUUAUUGUUAUAAUCGGUCCUAUUGGUGUUUGUGUCUGGUUUGGCACCAUGAAGAUAAACGAAAACACUUUACUGGAGGGACACAAAGUUGUGUUGGUUCCUUACAAUGCAAACCACGUGACCAGGUCCUGAUCCUCCAAAUGUCUGGAAACAAGGCAUCCAUGGCUCUGGAGUUCUUCCUUGAUGCUGCAAAGAAACCUGACUACAUCCAGAUCUUGACAUUGUUCGAUGGAAGAGUCCUUUCCUGUGAACAAUGCAAGACUCAGUCCUGUCAACCCUUCAUGAGGACAUUGAGGUAAGAGCAACUAGGACAAUUUUUGUAAAAACUAUUGGCUUAAUUAUCUUCAUUU